rnacentral:rRNA from 1 species
GACGAACGCUGGCGGCGUGCUUAACACAUGCAAGUCGAACGCUGAAGCUCAGCUUGCUGGGUGGAUGAGUGGCGAACGGGUGAGUAACACGUGAGUAACCUGCCCUCUUCUUUGGGAUAACGCCCGGAAACGGGUGCUAAUACUGGAUAUUCACUGAUUCUCGCAUGGGGGUUGGUGGAAAGGUUUUUUCUGGUGGGGGAUGGGCUCGCGGCCUAUCAGCUUGUUGGUGGGGUGAUGGCCUACCAAGGCUUUGACGGGUAGCCGGCCUGAGAGGGUGACCGGUCACAUUGGGACUGGGAUACGGCCCAGACUCAUACGGGAGGCAGCAGUGGGGAAUAUUGCACAAUGGGCGAAAGCCUGAUGCAGCGACGCCGCGUGAGGGAUGGAGGCCUUCGGGUUGUAAACCUCUUUCGCUCAUGGUCAAGCCGCAGCUUGGGGUUGUGGUGAGGGUAGUGGGUAAAGAAGCGCCGGCUAACUACGUG